rnacentral:rRNA from 1 species
GUGGGGAAUAUUGGACAAUGGGCGCAAGCCUGAUCCAGCAAUGCCGCGUGUGUGAAGAAGGUCUUCGGAUCGUAAAGCACUUUCGACAGGGACGAUGAUGACGGUACCUGUAGAAGAAGCCCCGGCUAACUUCGUGCCAGCAGCCGCGGUAAUACGAAGGGGGCUAGCGUUGCUCGGAAUUACUGGGCGUAAAGGGCGCGUAGGCGGCUCUGUUAGUCAGGCGUGAAAUUCCUGGGCUUAACCUGGGGACUGCGCUUGAUACUGCGGAGCUUGAGGCCGAGAGAGGGUGGUGGAAUUCCCAGUGUAGAGGUGAAAUUCGUAGAUAUUGGGAAGAACACCGGUGGCGAAGGCGACCACCUGGCUCGGUACUGACGCUGAGGCGCGACAGUGUGGGGAGCAAACAGGAUUAGAAACCCUUGUAGUCC